rnacentral:rRNA from 1 species
AGUGAACGCUGGCGGCAGGCCUAACACAUGCAAGUCGAGCGGCAGCGCGGGGGCAACCCUGGCGGCGAGCGGCGGACGGGUGAGGAAUUCGUCGGAAUCUGCCUUUUUGUGGGGGAUAACGUAGGGAAACUUACGCUAAUACCGCAUACGUCCUACGGGAGAAAGUGGGGGACCGCAAGGCCUCACGCAGAAAGAUGAGCCGACGACCGAUUAGCUAGUUGGUGGGGUAAAGGCCCACCAAGGCGACGAUCGGUAGCUGGUCUGAGAGGAUGAUCAGCCACACUGGGACUGAGACACGGCCCAGACUCCUACGGGAGGCAGCAGUGGGGAAUAUUGGACAAUGGGCGCAAGCCUGAUCCAGCCAUGCCGCGUGUGUGAAGAAGGCCUUCGGGUUGUAAAGCACUUUUGUCCGGAAAGAAAUCCCUGGAGCUAAUACCUUCGGGGGAUGACGGUACCGGAAGAAUAAGCACCGGCUAACUUUGUG